UACGGGGGGAGCAAGCGUUGUUCGGAUUUACUGGGCGUAAAGGGCGCGUAGGCGGCCAGCACAAGUCAGUUGUGAAAUCUCCGAGCUUAACUCGGAAAGGUCAACUGAUACUGUGCGGCUAGAGUGCGGAAGGGGCAACUGGAAUUCUUGGUGUAGCGGUGAAAUGCGUAGAUAUCAAGAGGAACACCUGCGGCGAAGGCGGGUUGCUGGGCCGACACUGACGCUGAGGCGCGAAAGCCAGGGGAGCAAACCGG
rnacentral:rRNA from 1 species